AUUGAACGCUGGCGGCAGGCCUAACACAUGCAAGUCGAGCGGUAGCACAGAGAGCUUGCUCUCGGGUGACGAGCGGCGGACGGGUGAGUAAUGUCUGGGAAACUGCCUGAUGGAGGGGGAUAACUACUGGAAACGGUAGCUAAUACCGCAUAACGUCGCAAGACCAAAGUGGGGGACCUUCGGGCCUCAUGCCAUCAGAUGUGUCCAGAUGGGAUUAGCUGGUAGGUGGGGUAACGGUUCACCUAGGCGACGAUCCCUAGCUGGUCUGAGAGGAUGACCAGCCACACUGGAACGGAGACACGGUCCAGACUCCUACGGGAGGCAGCAGUGGGGAAUAUUGCACAAUGGGCGCAAGCCUGAUGCAGCCAUGCCGCGUGUGUGAAGAAGGCCUUCGGGUUGUAAAGCACUUUCAGCGGGGAGGAAGGCGGUGAGGUUAAUAACCUCAUCGAUUGACGUUACCCGCAGAAGAAGCACCGGCUAACUCCGUGCCAGCCGCCGCCGUAACAC
rnacentral:rRNA from 1 species